rnacentral:rRNA from 1 species
AAUGAACGUUGGCGGCAUGGAUUAGGCAUGCAAGUCGUGCGCGAUAUGUAGCAAUACAUGGAGAGCGGCGAAAGGGAGAGUAAUACGUAGGAACCUACCUUCGGGUCUGGGAUAGCGGCGGGAAACUGCCGGUAAUACCAGAUGAUGUUUCCGAACCAAAGGUGUGAUUCCGCCUGAAGAGGGGCCUACGUCGUAUUAGCUAGUUGGUAGGGUAAUGGCCUACCAAGGCAAAGAUGCGUAUGGGGUGCGAGAGCAUGCCCCCACCUCACUGGGACUGAGACACUGCCCAGACACCUACGGGUGGCUGCAGUCGAGAAUCUUCGGCAAUGGGCGAAAGCCUGACCGAGCGAUGCCGCGUGCGGGAUGAAGGCCUUCGGGUUGUAAACCGCUGUCGUAGGGGAUGAAGUGCUAGGGGGUUCUCCCUCUAGUUUGACUGAACCUAGGAGGAAGGGCCGGCUAAUCUCGUGCCAGCAGCCGCCGUAA